rnacentral:misc_RNA from 1 species
UGCAGUUACGAACUGCGGCUUGCGGUAGUGGACGAGUCCCGAGUGUAAAGGCCGUUCCCGUUUCUAGACACGUGCGUGCCCAGCCACGCACGUUAUUUCUCCUCCAAAGCCGGCUUCUUCCAUCGAUAUCCCCUUCGACGUGGCUUCUUCGGGGCACGAAGAUGGUGGACGUAACGACAGCCCUGCCCUCCACCAAUGGGAUCUCCCUAAUGGGUCGCACCAAGGGUGCCCUUAAAUCCAUGAAGUCCGCCCUUGGGGGAGGAGGGGAAUACCUUCAGGGCCUGGGGAACCGAAUAGGAUCAGCUCUCAGCAGCAGUUUGGAGGAGAGCGAAAUAACCACGACACCCUCCUCGCCGCCUUCUCCUCCACAUCCGACCAUUCAGGCCUCGAAGGAGCAGGAAAUUGGCCGACGAAAGCUCCGACUUCCGAGAUUUGGAGCUGGCCUGUCGUACGAGGAUUACCAGGCGAUCGCCCGUUGUAAAAUUGAGCGACAGGCGAAUAAUGCAAAAUUGACCAGAGCAUUGAAAAAUUAUCCUGGCAUGUCCUACGAGGAGAUCACCUCUUCCAGAUCAACGCCGAAGAAGGAGCCGAGGAAAGAAGAAGAAGUAAGCGACCAAGAUAGUCCAGAAAGUAUAGAGCCUCUCCAAGAAAAGGACAUCAAAGCCACCGGUCCAGAUCCCUAUGAGAAAUUAAAUUUCAAAAUAGACAUACCGUGCAGCAGUGAAUCCACUAGUGACCAGGACGGCGUCGGACCAAGUACGAGUUUGGAGUCCAAUAUGGAUUGCCGUAGGGUAUGGCAGAGAUCAGGCUCGUCUAGUUCGGUCCAAUCUUGGGCUUCCAGUUUAUCAGCCGACAGUCAAUCCGAGGAAGCUGCUGCCGAAUUUAUGAAGACCUUUGUUCCUCUGUUGUUCGAAGCUCCAGAUUCCGUGGAACAGGAGCAAAAAGCGAGUUUCGGCCAAAUGGUGCUUACGGAGUCCGGCAGAGUAUGGUUCUCCAGGGUGGUGAACGCAAGAAGAGCACACGCAUGCGUAUCGGAAGCCUCUUUUUACUCCCUGGCACAGCAUUUUGCUGUCGCCCUUUUUGAGUGCCACGAAGCCGAUGAUUUUGCACCGGCGAAAAGUCUAAUGAACAUGUGCUUCACAUUUUACCACGAAGUCGAAGUUCCAGGAUUGGAGCCUUAUCGUGAGUAUUUGUACACGCAUUUACGCGUGCAACCUAUAUGGACGUCGAUGCGUUUUUGGACGGCUGCGUUUUUUGACGCCGUUCAAUGCGAAAGGGCGACUAGACCAGUUCCUAGGAGAUCUAAAUCUUUGGAUAGAGAGGCCGUUGCUGCCGAUGACAGGAAGUUCCAGGCCAACAUAGUGUUUGGCCAACUUGGAACCUUCACUUGCAACAUGCAUGCUUUCGGUCUGUCGAGAGCACUUUGCCUGGAGUUCCUGAGGAAGCAGUGCGAGAUUGCAAAUUUAACAAUAGAUCAAGAGAAAAUGCUGCGCGACAACAUCGAAAGGAUGUACGACGAAACUGAGCCUUGGAGGCAAUGAGGAAGUUGAUAAGGCCAAGUUUCACGAUAAAGAGCUCGAAUUGACUGAACUUGGUGGUUUGAAAGGACGAUAAGGGAUUGCGAUACUUACACGACUCGGAGAAGGGCGCGUUAAAAUACUUUGGCACGUUCAAGAUAGGAUGGAGAAGUGCAUAAUUCUAAUAUGCAUUUUAUUGAUAAGCUGAGAAAGAAUCGGAAGGGAAAAAACGAGACGAAAAAUCAUAGCCUUCCACCGUGUGCAUAAUUUUAAUAACUAGUCUAGAUCAAUCUCUAAAUCGAGUUAGUCUCGUUUAGAAGGAAAAGUGCGCGGAGGAUAUUUAUUUAACGGGGUUACGUUUAUUUAAACUUAACGUUGCAUUUUUACUGUCAUUAUUUUUCUAUUCGAGAGGGCCAUAACGCUAAAUGAGUCGUAGUACCGAGUUUCGUGGGAAUUUGUGGCCUGGAAUAUAUAUAUAAGAAAGAAAUUGCGGAAUUUCCGGGUACGACGAUAACGUGUAAUUAUUGAUAAGGCCUAGAUAAGUGUAUAUAUGUAUACAUGUCGAGAUGUGCAGCGGUACCCGUCCUGUAGAAAUAAUCAGGAAACAGUUUCCUAUCCUGAUCGUGACAAUGUCUCUCAAGUAAGUCUAUCUAGCUGAGACUAAUUGUCUUUUUUCUUUUUUUUUUUUAAUACUUUAAGAUUUAUGUACAUACGACUACGGUGAAGAUUUCCUUGAGAAGAAAUUGCGCUCUUUUUCGAGUCUAAUCGGAUAAACUAAUCGGAGCGGACGACGUAAGAAUUGUUUAAAAAUCGUGCAACUAAUUGGACGGUGCAAUUAUAUUAAUUACAUUAAUUAGUAUGGGUCCAUAUACGAGACGUCUCCUGAAAGUUUAAAUUAAGAGGGAUUUUAUUAGAUCCUUUAAUUGAGGAAAUCCUAAUUUAGAUCUUCUGGGACAAUUGUUGAGCCCAGCUGACUUCAGGGUAAAAAACAUGUUUAUAUUGUCGCUAGUUUCUUUUGCGGCAACGUGCACAAUGGGUAAUCCAGACGUUUCUUGUUCAAGAAAUCUCAUGGCUCCAAUAAAAUUGAUUUUAUAACAAUCAGCAUCCCUUCUUUCGAACGGACAUCCACUUUUUGUCCCUCUUAUUUUUUAUAUGUCAUUUUGUCAGGAUUGACAGGGAAGGGACGGCGAACAAUCAUUUUAACUACGUUUUGUCGAGUCUGCAUUUAAAUGGAUUUUUGCAUACUUAGUGGAUAUGAAAAACACCAGUUCAGUAGAUUAAACGAGAUCGAUGUGCCAUUAAUAUUUUUUACUUUUAGUAAUUUAUUCGCUGUCUAUUCUCAAACUUCCUGGAUUUUUUUUUAAUUGUUUUGUUUUGUCUGUUCUUUUGUGCCCCUUUCCAGAUUUAGGUGGACCACUUUACCGGAUCCAUUUUUUUUUUUCAAGACAUGUUCAUCGCCGCGGAGCUUCUUGGACUUGUUGGUAAAAGGUGUUCAAAGAUGUUAAGGAUGUUUAUCAUUCUCUCCCUCUCUUUCUCUCACUCUUUCUCUCACCCUUUCUCCCUCUAAUGCUAUACGAAAUGAUUAUUACAAUAUCAUAAUAUAUAAUAUAUUCUACAUUACAUUACUAAGUUCGAAAAAUAAUAUUACAAUAUAUAGUGUGUGUAUGCGUGUGAGUGUGUGUCCGUGUAUUAUCAAUUAAUCUUCGUUCUCCUUCGCUUUCCCUCUCGUUCCUUAAUAUAAAUCCGUUGUUACCACUUUUCCUAACAUGCCGCCAUCUUUUAACCCUUAUUCGUUGGAAUUUGAGAAUCCCGGUCUUAUUGGUUAUCUCUGGGCUCGUUAAACAAUGAAAAAUGGACCCAAAACGGGAACACGAUGCUGAACGACAAAAGCGAGGUCCAAUGAUUUUGGGACCUUGCUUUCACGUGUAUUAGUAAUGGAUUGCCUAUUGUUGUAAAAGGUUUGCAUUUUAGUAGGUGAAAAUGAUAAUCUUGCCUCGGAUUCCGAUUUUUCACUGCGAAACGGGCUUUCGGGCCUCGCAAUUGUCUUCAAGAUGGCCGCGCAUACGCGUGCGUAUUAACAGAAAAGGCCCAACACAAAGGGAAAGUACAGAAUCACCGACUGGUAGGCCAAAAUGUCUGCAACAAAAGUCUCUUUAUUCGUUGGUCGUUACUUUAGAAUCGGCAAGAGGUUCGCCAGUGCGUGCGAGGAUUAAAACAUACGUUUGAUUAACUAAAACGAGCCUAAACCGCGGGAACAUCGUGCAACAUGGCGUCCGACACGUACCUCCGAAUUAUCACUUUUAUUAUAUAAAAACCCUCUCUGUGCCGCACGCACGUUGCACGCGUGUCCCUUAUAUCAAAGAUACGAGUUCGUUUCACCGUUUACAAUUUAAGAUGGAUGCUUUUAUUAACGCACACACGUAUACGUAUAUUUCUUCAACGGUGAAUGGUAGUCUAAACGCUUCGCUCGUCUGCCCAGAGGAAGUCUCCACGAGACGCGCGGCCGCCAUUUUGAAAAGACCGCACGGCCCAUUAAACUGAAUAACAAAACUCGAGUUUACAUCAUUAUCUGAACGUUAAAACUUGUACACGAUACUAAACAAGUUGCGGCACCUUACACUGCGUCAACUUAUCGUUAAAAAUCGCCAAAUUAUCGCAAGAUUCUCCGAUUACUAAACUUAGAACAUCCGAGGUGGAGGCGGCGCUGUCGCCGCCGCCAUGUUGGAUCAUCUUACGUCCGCAUAUCGCACUCCACAUAGUAAACGCCAAAUUAUUCAAGGGUGUAACAACGAAAUCACGCAAAAUACAUGGAUAAUCAGUGCGAAGCGGUACUUCGCGGGAAAAAUAACGCAUAAGUAGAGUUAUGGAAAACUCGGCGGUCUCUUGGAGACGAUCUCGAGCAGGUCACGCUAUCCGCACAUAAGUCGUUGAAACUGCACAUAAGUAGUCUUACGAUCGUGUAGAGUGUACUCGUGUGUAAAUGUAAAACCGCUAGGCGCUUUCUUCAUUUAAUUUGAAUAACAACCAUUUUUUUUUGUUUCAUUUGUUUCACUAAAUAUAUCACAAACUGCCGGUGGUCUACGCAGCCUUCGAAUUAACGCUAAACCCUUAUAUCGCGCACGCGCUAACCGAUUACAAUAAUUGUUCGUGUACGUCGACUUCGUAUGGUAGUAUUUCUUUUUUUUUUCUCCUUUAAUAUUCGUUUUGUUGGAGGACGCGGGAAAGGGGUGGAGGAAAGGGUUUAGAGGGACGGGGUGCAUCCCUUUAAUCUCGCAGGCUCGAGUGACCGUGGUUCUCUCAGUCUUUUUGUAUUAUCACGAUUAAACCGUUUAGCGUCAACUUUCGAACGCUACCACCGGAAAAAUAUAACGUUAAGGGGUUACAUGUUAAUAGUUACAUCACUGUCGGGCAGCGCUGAGAUCUCCCAGCCUUUGGAUUUAGGAUCCAAGAACGAUCCUAGAUCCUCGGCCGGCGAUCCAAGAUGGCGCGCGCCCGACAUAAGGUUAGUUUAAAUGUCGAACUAGUAGUUUCUGCAUUAUUAUGCUGCCACAGAAGACUCUCUUUAUCCUUAAAGUGUAAAUACCUUUAUAAAUUCAUAAUCUUAAACCUUAGGUGAUUCUUUAGAGUUCCGAUAGGGGUAGUUCUUUAAGUGCUUGCAUUUUCUUUCUUUCUUUUUUUUUUGUGUGUGUGUGUUAUUUACUUCGUAGGUUACCUUAGUUUUCGUUUAGUUUAAUUUAGACUUCGCGUGUUGGGUUCACGUUACCUAUCUUUUCUUUUUUUUUUCUCUCUCUCUCUUUCUCUCGAAAACUUGUAGUCAAGGGGGGCGAUGAUAUUGUGUUAGGGGCUAGGGGAAGGGAGGGAGGCCGGCUUUUUUGGGUCGUGGAAGAGAGCCAAUUUGGAAAAUAGUACUUUUGCGAGCUGUGUACAUAUAUAUUUAUUUGUAUACUUGUAUAUGGACCUUAGGUGGAACUUAUCUCCUUUAGGUGGUACGCACUGUGUACUUUUUCGAAAUAAAGGAAGAACGGAAGGGUGGACUUGGAUUUUUACGUGCUGAUUGUAGAAAUGGAGAUGUACCUUGUGCCAGUAGAUAUUGUUAACUAAUCGGACGUCAUUCUGGCGAUUCGGAUAAAAACCCAAUGUUCUAUUUUUACAAUUUUCUUCUUUAUUGCCGUGUGCUUUGUCUUUCUGCUCUUCCGGCACAGCGUAAAUAUAUUCUCCGUGUUAUUAAAUAUUUCUCGAGGAAGUGAUUUGCAACGACGCGUUUAACGUGACUCGGAAAGCCGGAAUUCUGUCGGCGAUAUAAUAAAUAUAAGAAUUGCUGUUAACAAUGUACAUUGUAGGUGUGGUGUUGUUGUUAGAAUCGUUACUUUCAAAAAUCGAUGUCAGUCUUUUGUUACCGUCAAUUUGGAGGUUAUUACAAUAUAUUCGGGUGUUCGUUGUUGGUUAAGUUAGGCUUGUGGUUGUUUAUUAAGUUAGUGAAUACAAGAAGAUGACCGCAGUGCUAAAUGAAGUAGUGUGACGUGACUGUGUUCCCAGUUUUCGUUAAAUCCCGCCUAAACGGUGCAUCUAAAGGAAAUAUGUUUCGAACAAAACCUGCGGCACGUUAUGAAUCGAACAACUUUCAUUACAAACAAUUUUUCAUUCGAAGUGCGGUUACGACAGAAAAUCGUAAUAUUCGACACCGUGACGCCAAACAUUUGAAAUUCCUGGAGUACAAGUACACCUUUAAAAUUCCAUUACGAAUGUUCCGAAAAUUCCCGUGCAUUCGAAAAUAAAAAUUCAAAGCGCUAAAAUACCGGGGUUAACGCAUUAAUUGCCCAGAGAUUCGCGAACAAAGAUACUACUAUGUUCCUAGAGGAAACAGUUGAGAAGAAACGGAAAUCAUGUAAGAGACUUCAAUGUUAACUAUCAGAAAGCAAAGAUACUCCUUGUAAAUUAAUAUCACAGAGACAACUAACACAGUAUAUAGUAGAUUUGCAAUUUUUCUCACAUAAAAUAUGAAUUAUAAACCCAUACAAUACAUUUAAGCAUUAAAGAUGGAGUGAUCGGUACGAGCUCUCAAUUAAAAAAAAAAA